GACGAACGCUGGCGGCGUGCUUAACACAUGCAAGUCGAGCGGAGCGGCGAACGGGGGAGUAACGCGUGAGUAACUGCCCCCCUCUCUGGGAUAACAGUUGGAAACGGCUGCUAAUACCGGAUAGUGGGGGAUGACUCGCGUCCUAUCAGCUUGUUGGUGGGGUAGUGGCCUACCAAGGCGACGACGGGUAGCCGGCCUGAGAGGGCGACCGGCCACAUGGUCCUUCCAUACCAACCAAACCACUACUAUAUGCAACAUUGGGGAAUAUUGCACAAUGGGGGAAACCCUGAUGCACAAACGCCGCGUACUUUGUGACGGCAUGCGGGUUGGAAACCGCUUUCAGCCAUGACGCGGUAGUGGCAGAAGAAGCACCGGCUAACUACGUGCCAGCAGCCGCGGUAAUAC
rnacentral:rRNA from 1 species